UACGGGGGGAGCAAGCGUUGUUCGGAUUUACUGGGCGUAAAGGGCGCGUAGGCGGUCAGCACAAGUCAGUUGUGAAAUCUCCGGGCUUAACUCGGAAAGGUCAACUGAUACUGUGCGACUAGAGUGCAGAAGGGGCAACUGGAAUUCUCGGUGUAGCGGUGAAAUGCGUGGAUAUCGAGAGGGACACCUGCGGCGAAGGCGGGUUGCUGGGCUGACACUGACGCUGAGGCGCGAAAGCCAGGGGAGCGAACGGG
rnacentral:rRNA from 1 species